UUGCUCACUUUGCCAGCACAUAUACAAAAAUUGGAACGAUACAGAGAUUAGCAUGGCCCUUGUGCAAGGAUGACUUGCAUAUUUGUGAAGCAUUCCUGAUUUAA